GAGUGGACUCUUGCUCUAUCCUGUGCUAUAGAAGUGGGAGAGGAGAUGUAAGGAAGGAGCGCACACCAGCAAGUGUGGUUGAUGAGGGACUGGGGCCUCAUGAGCUGUCAUCACUCCCAGGGAAGUAAAAGGAUCAAGGGAGAAAGUUAUCAGUGAUAAAGAUUUGGAAUUGUUGCUUGAUCGGAGUGACCUAAUUGCCACCUAAGAAGGAAGAAAAAAAACUGAGACAAAGAUAAA